UUUUUUUUUUUUUUUUUGUCAGCCGGGUUCAAUGCGCCAUAUUGAAGAGGACGGGUCUAAUAGAUCGCUGGAGACACAAUUUAACUGAACCCCGCCCGUUGUGGACUGACUUUGAUGCUCUGAGUCCCUCCCUCCUUCACGCCGCUAGCAGGCCCUGAUGUAGAUUGCCUUUGUCUUACUUGGGACGUUUACCUGAGCGCUUGGUGCUGGUGUCGGGACCGGGAGAUAGGAGUGUCUCAGGAGAGACCUGGCCGAAAACCGCGAGAAAGAAAAGUGAAGCCUAGUGAAACUGCCUUUGCAGUGACUCAAGAAAAACUCAUCACCUGGAGUCCGUGUAAGCUCGGCGACAGCCCUAGCAGCGAGGCCAAAACAGUUUGGGAAGAAAGAAAACCUAAAGUAUUUGCCGUUGGUGAUUCAAGGGAAUCAAACUUGACGUAUGGAGCCAAGAAAGCCCUUGGAAAAACUGGCCUCAUAUUUUGUGUACACAGUCCCUGUACAGGGUUUCUGACCUGUGUUCAGUCUUUACAGAAGCUGACGAGAGAUUUCCUUGUAUUUUAUGGUGGUAUGAUUGGCCUUAGAGCACUUCAGUUUUGAGAUCUCUGCUGUAUUUGUAUACAAGUAUUUUGGAAG
rnacentral:lncRNA from 1 species